rnacentral:lncRNA from 1 species
UUGAUGCAUGCUUAGUCAUCUCUUUUUUGUGAUUGAUACAUUUGAGACAAACACCAUUUUGGUUAACCAUUGUUAAGUCCUUUUGCUUGAGGACAAGAAAACUGCUCUUUUCUUUGCUUGAGGACAAGCAAAACUGUAAAUUUGGUGGAGUUUGUUAAUUGAUAUUCAUGAGCUUUUAGUGCAUUAAAAAUAAGUAAGAAAAUAGCAAUGUGCCUUUAAUUUACGGUUCUUUUUGUGGAAAUUGUAAAUAUUUUUAUUCUUGUAUGUAUUUAUAAAGUAGAAACUCCAUUUUUGUGAACUAAUGUUGAAUUUAAC